CCGGCAUGGAGAAUGAAUUGUGACUCGACUUAUAUUUUAAUAGAAAUUGUGAAGAAUUACCCAGCAGUAACAUUUGGUGACCUACUUGACCUCGUACAUGAGAUAAUCGAUGAUAUCAAUAGUAGGGAAUUUGUUUUCCCCAGAUUCUUAAGAUCAAUGUUGCGGGGCAAGAUAUUACAGAAGCCUCAACUUUCAGCCUCUGAACCAUUUGAUGUUUACAAGAAACCUUUUAUUUUGUAAACAUGAAAGCAUCAGAAUAUCUUCACCUCAAAGGAGUAUAACUCACCAAUGAAUGACCAGGUCAUGAAUAUCAACUCAGCAAUAUUAUGCGCUUUGGAUUUCCAUCUGCUGAUGCUAUCUCUUAUGGAUAAUUUAUUUUGGUUAAUUAGGUCAUAUACAUAUUAUAAAAAUAAAUUAUAUAGCAACUGCCAAAAAGACAGUUGCGUGUCUCAAAUAUUGUCAUCAAAGGAAAUGACUUUUAAUACUUAUUCUCAGAAAAAAAAAAAAGUAAGCAUUUUUUUUU